GACGAACGCUGGCGGCGUGCCUAAUACAUGCAAGUCGAACGCAGUGGGGACUGUUUAGUAACACGUCGGUAACCUGCCCAUCAGAGGGGAUACCACUUGGAAACAGGUGCUAAUCCCAUACGGAUGGAUGGACCCGCAGUGCAUUAGCUAGUUGGUGGGGUAACGGCUCACAAAGGCGACGAUGCAUAGCCGACCUGAGAGGGUGACCGGCCACACUGGGACUGAGACACGGUCCAGACGCCUACGGGAGGCAGCAGUAGGGAAUCUUCGGCAAUGGGCGAAAGCCUGAUCCAGCAACGCCGCGUGAGUGAAGAAGGUUUUCGGGUCGUAAAACUCUGUUGUUAGAGAAGCGGUAUCUAACCAGAAAGCCACGGCUAACUACGUGCCAGCAGCCGCGGUAAUAC
rnacentral:rRNA from 1 species